rnacentral:rRNA from 1 species
GAUCAUGGCUCAGGAUGAACGCUAGCUACAGGCUUAACACAUGCAAGUCGAGGGGCAGCAUGGUCUUAGCUUGCUAAGGCCGAUGGCGACCGGCGCACGGGUGAGUAACGCGUAUCCAACCUGCCUUACACUCUUGGACAGCCUUCUGAAAGGGAGAUUAAUACAAGAUGUUAUCAUGAGUAAGCAUUUUCGCAUGAUUAAAGGUUUACCGGUGUUAAGAUGGGGGAUGCGUU